CCCCCCCGGGCGGCCUUUCAGAGGGCCGGCGCCGCGCGCUCGCGCCCGGGCAGCGGCCGCGUGCUCGGGGUCGGCCCGGUCGCGCGUCCCCGCCGGCGGUCGCAGGAGCGAGGGCGCGGGCGGAAGCGCGGGUUCCCCGUGGGCCUAGCUGCAGUGCCUGGGACGGCGGCGUGGCCUUCUUCGUUGCCGGUAGCGAGCCACCAAGAGGAUUUUUGAAACACGAAACUCCUCUGGACAUUUUGAACUUGAAAGCAUAAAAGUUGUCACGGUUGCGAAGCACCUGCAGAAUGCAAACACAGGUAUUUUGGAACACAGUGGAUCCGGCCCUCUUUUCAACCGAUUGGUCGAAUACAAAUACCACAGCCAGCCAUUCCAUACCCACCAUCGUCCAUUGAACACCAGCUCGGCUUCAAUAACUGAAGACUUUACACCUGGGGUGAGACGCUAUUUUACAAGCCAAGAUGGGUGAGCACGAAGCCUUCUCUUCAAGAAGAGAGCCCCACGAUGAACAGGUUGGUGACAAGGCGGGACAGCCUGGCCCCCUUGGCAGCUCUUGUUUUCAGGCUGAUCGGGUUUAGGAAGAGCCCCGUGUGGACUUGAAGCACCAGGCUGUCAGUUCCUUUAACACUGAGUUCCCACUUGCCUGGGGCUAAUCUUUGUGAAGACGUGGUGAGCCUGCCCAAGGGAGUACCUGUCCCAACUGAACGACCAGCGGCCUGAGGAAUCCCGGUGGGACUGGCUUUCCCAGGUGCUUCGGGCACAAUGAGAGUGGAGAGGAGACCUACCUGCCAGGCCCCGGAGUGCAUCGCCACGUCUCCUCCACAACCUUUCACGCAACUUUAACGAUGGAUUUUUUAAAAAUGUUUACUUAUUUAUUUUAGGAGAGACAGUGAGAGAGAGAAAAUGGGCAGGGGAGGGGCAGA